rnacentral:rRNA from 1 species
GACGAACGCUGGCGGCGUGCCUAAUACAUGCAAGUUGAGCGAUGAAGAUUGGUGCUUGCACCAAUUUGAAGAGCAGCGAACGGGUGAGUAACGCGUGGGGAAUCUGCCUUUGAGCGGGGGACAACAUUUGGAAACGAAUGCUAAUACCGCAUAACAACUUUAAACAUAAGUUUUAAGUUUGAAAGAUGCAAUUGCAUCACUCAAAGAUGAUCCCGCGUUGUAUUAGCUAGUUGGUGAGGUAAAGGCUCACCAAGGCGAUGAUACAUAGCCGACCUGAGAGGGUGAUCGGCCACAUUGGGACUGAGACACGGCCCAAACUCCUACGGGAGGCAGCAGUAGGGAAUCUUCGGCAAUAGACGAAAGUCUGACCGAGCAACGCCGCGUGAGUGAAGAAGGUUUUCGGAUCGUAAAACUCUGUUGGUAGAGAAGAACGUUGGUGAGAGUGGAAAGCUCAUCAAGUGACGGUAACUACCCAGAAAGGGACGGCAAACUACGUG